rnacentral:RNase_P_RNA from 1 species
AAAGUUUAUUGGAUGUCUGAUUAUAAUAUAUAAUAGGAAAGUCUGGACUCAUUUAAAAAGUGCAGGAUAAAUUCCUGCAGAGAAAACUCUAGGGAAAGUGUUAAAGAAAUAUAAAAACUCUUUUUUAAUAUUAGAGUUUUUUGAAAAGAUAUAAUCUAAUAAUUUAAAAAAAAAUUAUUAAAGAAACCCCACUUUGAGCAAAACCAUUAGGUUGCUAAAAACAAAUACGUAAGAGAUUGUUUCAGAGAAAUAGACAUACAUAAAAAUUUUUUUAAAUUUUUAGGACAAAAUCCAGCUUAUAAAUAAACUUU